rnacentral:rRNA from 1 species
UGGGGAAUCUUGCGCAAUGGGCGCAAGCCUGAUCCAGCCAUGCCGCGUGAGUGACGAAGGCCUUAGGGUUGUAAAGCUCUUUUUGCCGGGGACGAUAAUGACGGUACCCGGAGAAUAAGUCCCGGCUAACUUCGUGCCAGCAGCCGCGGUAAUACGAAGGGGACUAGCGUUGUUCGGAAUUACUGGGCGUAAAGCGCACGUAGGCGGAAUUGUCAGUCAGAGGUGAAAUCCCGGGGCUCAACCUCGGAACUGCCUUUGAUACAGCAAUUCUCGAGUCCGAUAGAGGUGAGUGGAAUUCCUAGUGUAGAGGUGAAAUUCGUAGAUAUUAGGAAGAACACCGGUGGCGAAGGCGGCUCACUGGAUCGGUACUGACGCUGAGGUGCGAAAGCGUGGGGAGCAAACAGGAUUAGAUACCCAUGUAGUCCCUGAGCGGGCUGGCAAGGCGCAU